GAUGAACGCUGGCGGCGUGGCUAAGGCAUGCAAGUCGAACGAAGACAUUGGUGUAGCAAUACAUUGAUGUACUUAGUGGCAAACGGGAGCGUAACACAUUGGUAACGUGCCUCGACUUCGCGAACAACUCAGGGAAACUUGAGCUAAUACGCGAUAUGGAUGGGGGGCCGCAGGGCAUUCCCAUUGAAAGAUUUAUCGAAUCGAGAGCGACCUAUGUUCCAUCAGCUAGUUGGCGGGGUAACGGCCCACCAAGGCUAUGACGGAUACCAGGCGCGAGAGCGUGACCUGGCUCACUGGGACUGAGACGCUGCCCAGACUCCUACGGGAGGCUGCAGUCGCGAAUAUUCCACAAUGCACGAAAGUGUGACGGAGCGACGCCGCGUGUCGGAAGAAGGCCCUCGGGUCGUAAACGACUUUUAGCAGGGACGAACCAUGACGGUACCUGCAGAAUAAGAGGUUGCUAACUCUGUGCCAGCAGCAGCGGUAAUACAGAGACCUCAAGCGUUAUCCGGAUUUAUUGGGCGUAAAGCGUUCGUAGGCGGUUUUGUAAGUCGUUUGUUAAAUCUUCAGGCUUAACCUGGAGGCUGCAGGUGAUACUGCAAGACUUGAGUGUGGGAGAGGCAAGCGGAAUGCCCGGUGUAGCGGUAGAAUGUGUUAAUAUCGGGUAGAACACCAAAGGCGAAGGCAGCUUGCUGGAACACAACUGACGCUCAGUGAACGAAAGCGUGGGGAGCGAAAGGGAUUAGAUACCCCUGUAGUCCACGCUGUAAGCUAUGGCUACUAGAUUUUGGGAGUUUCGACCCUCUCAGAGUCGACGAAACAAGCUAACGCGUUAAGUAGCCCGCCUGGGAAGUACGGUCGCAAGACUAAAACUCAAAGGAAUAGACGGGGACCCGCACAAGCGGUGGAUCAUGCGGUUUAAUUCGAUGCAACGCGAGAAACUUCACCUGGGCUUGAAAUAUAGCUGUGGGCGAUUGGAAACAAACGCCGUCCUCGAGAUCGCCAUGUAGGUGCUGCAUGGCUGUCGUCAGCUCGUGCCGUGAGGUGU
rnacentral:rRNA from 1 species